GCCUCUCCACCCAUGUGUGCUUAGCGAUUCCUCCUCUUCCCCAUAUGUCCAUGGUCCCUGAAAAACAGGAAAAGCCAAUCUACCGCAUAGCUAGAAAACCUAAAGAUCCUGCAAAAAAAGUCUAGGUCGGUUCUUCCUCAAAAGUGUGCUCACGCUCCCAAUCCCGCCGAUCUGCUGCCAUUGGCAUACGCUCCCAAUCCCCCCAACUGACCUAUUGCAAUUGGCACGUUGCUAUUGCAGCUCCUCCGCCGCUUCAUGUCGCCCUUCGUAACUUCAUGCCAUCAUCCACUUUGAAGAUCCGCAUGGUGCUGCAAUUCGUCCAAGGAGUAGGGAAGCUUGGAUCCAGCAAAAAAACUUAAUUAGUAAUUAGGCAAUGGAGUGAAGGAAGGGUGAUCUCAUCCCAACGCCCAAACCUUGUUCGAUUCCAUCUAUGGCCGAUUCGUACGCCCAUCCACAGGCAAGUAACUCUCUUCUCUUCCUUGAUGAAUUCGUCCUCUGUUCUCCUCCUUGAUGAAUUCAUCCGAGAGCACCCAAAUAAUUUUGCUUUAUCUGUGAUCUCUCAUCAAGGAAAAAACUGCUCUGUAUAUGUGUUUCACAUCACAACGCUUACGAGAUUAAGAAAUAUAGGAAGCUAUGAAGAAUGGGCCAGUUACAGUAUUCAGAUAUCAUAUAUAGCUGCCACUUACAGAAAAUAUGAUUACAAGUAGGAUUUACAAUCGUUUCCUCAAAUCAUUAAAUGGGUAGCUAUUGUGAGUUCCAGUAUGGUCGUUUAUUGAUCACAAAGGAAUUGCUUCUGCCAUUGGAAGUAUGACAUGAGUCCUGACUUCUGCAGAAUGUGCAUCUUAUCUUCACUGAUAUAAACAAUCUCGGGACAUUAUGGAGGCAUCAGAUGAUCGGGGGGAUCGACAAUGGGAGGCUACCACGACAAGCAACUAGCAAAGAAAGAGGAGCUCUGGACUAGGCAUUACAUGCUGGACACCAUGGACUGAAAACAUGAGACAUGGAUUGACACGGGAACGAUGUAUUACAAUUCCGUUUCCCAUAUAAUCUAAAAGGAUGAGUUGGGCUUCCUUUCAUGAGCUUCUUUUCUGUAAGGUUCAUGUAUAGAGAAAGAAGAAACAAAUAUAAACAUUAUAGCCUAGAUGAGGAAUUGAGGAUAACGGUGGUUUAUCUCAAUGCCACAUGUUUAGUUGGUGGAGCAUGCUCUUGGAGUACGCAUGGAAAUUAACUUGAUGGAAGAAAUAACAUGGCAAUAAGGUGGCUAGAUUUUUCUGUUCUAUUACACAGUACAUUUAUGUUUAUUUAAAAUCAAUUGCCAGAAAAUUUCAUGUUCCAAUGAAGGGGAUUUUUUCCCCAUGAUUUGGUGUUCCUUUUUCUUUCGAUUUAAUAUGUGCUUCCAGUGUGCAUUGAGAACAUAUGUAAUCAUUUUGAUCUAAGUGGCGGAAGGUUCCAACGCGAGUCAUUAUUA